rnacentral:ncRNA from 1 species
GUUUGGUAUGAAAGUUGAGAAAGCUAGCACUCUUUUUGACAAAGAUGGAGAAGGCCCUCAGGCCUUACAACACACAAAGAGUUAAGCCAUUGCCACCUACGUUGUGUCAUCUAACCAGUUUGG